rnacentral:misc_RNA from 1 species
ACAGUUUUACCAUUUAGGAGUGAAAAUUAAUUGUCAUCACUUAAUAAAUUAAAAAGUAGUGGACCCAGGAAUAGAACAUCAGCUGUAAUGCCCUCUGUGCAGCUUUGACACCAACGUUCCAAUAAACAUCAGUAUAAUGUAUAUUAAAACAAAUUGGUCUUGCCAAACAAUGAAUAGUAUUAUUUUCUGUGUUGUUUAGUUUUGUAGUGGUAUUAAACUUUUUGAACCAGGACUUGUUUAAAAUAUAGAUGAAUGUAAUCUAGAUGAUUAACUACAUUUUCCUGGACAAUAUAAUAUAUGGCUGACUUAUUAUUCCGUCCAUCGAUGAAGAAAAUGUCAAAUUAAAGAAUUUGUUUAUGAUAAGGAUGUGUCUUUUAAACUAAUACUUUGAUAUUGAAUUAAUAAAUAAACUCAUUAUUAAACUG